AGAGUUUGAUCAUGGCUCAGAACGAACGCUGGCGGCAGGCUUAACACAUGCAAGUCGAACGGUCUCUUCGGAGGCAGUGGCAGACGGGUGAGUAACGCGUGGGAAUCUACCCAUCUCUACGGAACAACUCCGGGAAACUGGAGCUAAUACCGUAUACGCCCUUUUGGGGAAAGAUUUAUCGGGGAUGGAUGAGCCCGCGUUGGAUUAGCUAGUUGGUGGGGUAAAGGCCUACCAAGGCGACGAUCCAUAGCUGGUCUGAGAGGAUGAUCAGCCACAUUGGGACUGAGACACGGCCCAAACUCCUACGGGAGGCAGCAGUGGGGAAUAUUGGACAAUGGGCGCAAGCCUGAUCCAGCCAUGCCGCGUGAGUGAUGAAGGUCUUAGGAUUGUAAAGCUCUUUCAACGGUGAAGAUAAUGACGGUAGCCGUAGAAGAAGCCCCGGCUAACUUCGUGCCAGCAGCCGCGGUAAUACGAAGGGGGCUAGCGUUGUUCGGAAUUACUGGGCGUAAAGCGCACGUAGGCGGAUAUUUAAGUCAGGGGUGAAAUCCCAGAGCUCAACUCUGGAACUGCCUCUGAUACUGGGUAUCUUGAGUAUGGAAGAGGUGAGUGGAAUUCCGAGUGUAGAGGUGAAAUUCGUAGAUAUUCGGAGGAACACCAGUGGCGAAGGCGGCUCACUGGUCCAUUACUGACGCUGAGGUGCGAAAGCGUGGGGAGCAAACAGGAUUAGAUACCCUAGUAGUCC
rnacentral:rRNA from 1 species